GCCGUCGAUUUUUAUCAUUAAAAAACACUUACCCCCGUCGACUUCCCGCGUCCAGAGAAUUCAGAAACACAAUUUCCUUUUACCCAAAAUUCCCCAUUUCAGCACCAUCCCGCGUCAUUCUCCGCUGCCGUCGCCACUCCAUCACGGUUGCUUCACCGGCGCUCCUCAACACACACUCUCUCUCAACCAUAAACCCUACUCCAACGCCUUACUCAAAGCAAGGGUUUUCGGCGAGGUAAAACUCCAGCGAGGGAUGACAGGUAGGAGCACGUAAUUUGAAAACACUUACCGUCACUGGUUCCGAAGUUCCCUUUACCAUUGUCGCUGGUUCUACUUGCCGUCGCUGCUAGCUCGUGCUUAUCCAAUGGCCUGGUGAGGGGCUGUUAAGGUGUGGAAAGAGCUGCAGAUUAAGGUGGAUAAAUUAUCUGAGGCCUGAUAUCAAGAGAGGGAAUUUCACCAUUGAAGAAGAAGAAACCAUCAUCAAGCUUCAUGAAAUGCUUGGCAACAGGAAAAUCAUGUUCCAACACCAAUGGUUUCUUCUACAAAACUGACAAAAUUCAUAACAGAAAGGAGUUGAAGAAGAGAUUGAGCAACAUAUUCCAUUUAGUCAUCAGCGACUGCUAUCGAGCAGGAUGAUACGUAUGUUGCCAGCAGCCGGUCUUCCGUUGUAGCUUGUAGCCAAAAGUGUAGCCGUAUCACCAGGAGUGUAGUCACAACUGUCUUGAGUUUGUAGUCCGAUGUAAGACACCUGAUUGACACUUUUGAUCGACAGAAUGAGAUGCUAGUAGAUCUACGAUAUACUAUCGUUAGCCUUAUUUGACAAAAUAAUCAGGGUUUUACUUCGGAGGGUAUCACAAAUGUGUCAUCCGACUAUGUAUGUGGUGGAAAGAAAAGGCUCAAAGAGCAUCAUUCAGACAAAGGUAAGGUAAAAAACGAGUCACAGCGACCCCCACAUGUAGCUUGGAUGGCGCAAAUGACCCUACAUACAUACCACCGCCGAAGACAGAGAUCAGCAUGGAUCACAUGCUAUUUAGGUAGCACAAAGGCAAAGAAGAAAUCCAAUCAGCGAGACAAGGUAUGAAGAAAGAUGUCAGAACAAAAAAUCCCGAAUUGGUAACGUAUUUGAAGUUGAAUACCUUAAAGCUUUUAUUGGGGAUUUUUUUGUUGGAAAUAUUUUUCUGCCAAUCACUAAUCACUUUACUAUCUUCCAUUUAAGAGGUUAUGUUGGUUUAGUGUUGCUAAUUGUGUGUUACUUGCUUUGAAAAUGAUUAAAAUCUUAUUGAACACUAAUAACAGCCAAAUUCUCCUUUUAUGGUAAGGUGACUCUAAGUUUUAAUUUGUUACGAUAUUCAACAAUAUUUAUUACAAGCUGUGAGUACCUUAUGAGACGAAGCUUGACGUGGAUCAAUGUUUGUGAUAGUGAAUUAGGAAAUAUGUGCUGAAAUUUUUUAUCGUGUGCAAAAUAAUUUCUCUAUGUGUCCUUUAAUUGACUACACGGUUGCUUCAUGUUUAGUUUGGCCUAGUCUUUGUAACCUUAUAGGACUCUCAACAACAUCAUCACAAUGUGGGCUACUUUGACUUUCUGGUCAAUGUGUAGUUGUUGCCUGCUGCUGAAUGGUAUUGAUUUAUUAUUAUUACUGUUGUUAUUACCAUUAUUGCCUCAUUAUUAUUGCAUGGUUGUUGUGCUGCAUUUGAAUGUACUUGAAAUAAAGCCUAACGAAGGGAACGACCUUCUUUUAGUUGGAGGAAAAUUAUAAAAUUAUCAGUGUUAUGGUAUAUAUUUUGUCUACAUUUAUUUUCUUAGCUGAAGUAAGUGCUCUGUUGACAUUUGGUUACGUGUAAUUGGCCCUUCUAUAUUAUGUAUGUGAAACUUUCAAAUCCUAGAUUCGAUUAACAGUGUCGUAUUGUUUUUAAGAAUUGAUAUAUACAUAUACAAGCAUGAUGGAAAAAAAUAUUUAAAUGUACUUACAGUUGACUUAUUCCCCAUUAAUGACUCUACAGGUGGACCUCACGACAGAUUCCGUAGGCCAUGAUGAAUUCGUCACGCCAUACGGUCGAAGGGAUACUAAAUGCAAGCUUGACGACGAUAAAUGUUACAACAGAUUCCCAUUGAGGUAUAGUGGUGGAAAGAAACAAAUACUUGAGGUCAUGCUGGUGAAACUAGAUAGGAUCCUAAAGAUGCAGGUUGAGAAGUACCACACUGUGUAUUCUGGAGACUCUGAGAAAGCGAAGAACUCUUGGGACACUGGGUUGUAUUUUGUUUAUGAGUCCUGCUAGGGAGCCAAUGGAAUAUUUGUACAAUGUGUACAAUAGGCUAUAUGAGUUAAAAAAUGA